UGGAAAACCAGACAAAAACUGAGUGUACAACAGCAAGUUAUUUCAUGAAGAUAAAAGUUAGAGAGUUUCUUACUGAUGGAAGAUCUAUGGUCACACCGAAAACCUCAGCUCAGCCGUCUCCUAAAGCUUUCACCUAAAGUCAGCAGGCUCCUGAACUACCUUAUGAUCCACAGAUCCACUCCUGGAUAUAUAUCUGGAGAAAACUCUAAUUUUAAAAGACACAUUCACCCCAAUAUUUAUAGCACUAAAUGGAAGUGCUGUAAGUGGAAGCAAUCUAAAUGUCCAUCAACAGAAGAAUGGAUAAAGCAGAUGUGACAUAUACAUAUACACACAAUGGGCUAUAACUCGGACAUAAAAAAGGAUGAAAUAAUGCCAUUUGCAGCAACAUGGAUGGA
rnacentral:lncRNA from 1 species